GAGUUUGAUCCUGGCUCAGGACGAACGCUGGCGGCGUGCCUAACACAUGCAAGUCGAACGGGGAUAUUGAUUUCGGUUGAUAUCCUAGUGGCGAACGGGUGAGUAACGCGUGAGCAACCUGACCUUUUGAGGGGGAUAACACCUGGAAACAAGUGCUAAUACCGCAUAAGACCACGGAGCGGCAUCGUUCAGGGGUCAAAGGAGGAAUCCGCAGAAGGAGGGGCUCGCGUCCCAUUAGAUAGUAGGCGGGGUAACGGCCCACCUAGUCGACGAUGGGUAGCCGAGCUGAGAGGCUGAUCGGCCACACUGGAACUGAGACACGGUCCAGACUCCUACGGGAGGCAGCAGUGGGGAAUAUUGGGCAAUGGGCGCAAGCCUGACCCAGCAACGCCGCGUGAGGGAAGAAGGCUUUCGGGUUGUAAACCUCUGUCCUUGGUGACGAAGGAAGUGACGGUAGCCAAGGAGGAAGCCCCGGCUAACUACGUGCCAGCCGCCGCGGUAAUUC
rnacentral:rRNA from 1 species